UUGAACGGUUAAAGCUAGCACAUACUGCUUCCCCAAAUAAAAUAAAAUGAAGAAAGAAACUGAUAGGAAAAGGAGAAACACAACAAUCGGACACAGGUAAUAAUAGCAUCCCCAUGCCCAUAGACCGUGUUGAAAUUAGGGCUUUCCUUUACAGAAAAAAACAAAAACAAAAACAAAUUAAGGCUUUCGACAAUAAUAUAAAUGGUCAGUCCACUGUCCACUAUCCAAAACAAUAGUAAAUCAAUAAAAAGAGCAAUCAAUACGUAUUUUUCUAAACGGAUCAGAAACCACAUACACACUCCAUCCGAUAUCGAUAUAUCUCUAGAUUUACCUUGAUCGAUUCGGCGAUGAAGAGGAUGGUGUAACCGUUUGUCCCCGGGUUUAGGCUAUAGAUCUUCACGAACACCAGCUUUCUGAGCCCCGGUUCACGGCGCUUUGCUGGCCAUCGGGAGUCUUACCACUGCGCAGAGAGAGAGAGAGAGAGAGAGAGAGAGAGAGAGAGA